AACAUCGCGCACCUGCGGGAACCUGCGGAAGGAUCAUUACAGAGUUGCAAAACUCCCUAAACCAUUGUGAACGUUACCUAAACCGUUGCUUCGGCAGGCGGCCCGGGUCCUUCCCGGCGCCCCUCGGCCCUCGCGGGCGCCCGCCGGAGGUAAACCAAACUAUUGCAUUGUAUGGCCUCUCUGAGUCUUCUGUACUGAAUAAGUCAAAACUUUUAACAAUGGAUCUCAGAUCGGAAGAGC
rnacentral:misc_RNA from 1 species